rnacentral:rRNA from 1 species
GAUGAACGCUGGCGGCGUGCCUAAUACAUGCAAGUCGAGCGAACGGACGAGAAGCUUGCUUUUCUGAUGUUAGCGGCGGACGGGUGAGUAACACGUGGAUAACCUACCUAUAAGACUGGGAUAACUUCGGGAAACCGGAGCUAAUACCGGAUAAUAUUUUGAACCGCAUGGUUCAAAAGUGAAAGACGGUCUUGCUGUCACUUAUAGAUGGAUCCGCGCUGCAUUAGCUAGUUGGUAAGGUAACGGCUUACCAAGGCAACGAUGCAUAGCCGACCUGAGAGGGUGAUCGGCCACACUGGAACUGAGACACGGUCCAGACUCCUACGGGAGGCAGCAGUAGGGAAUCUUCCGCAAUGGGCGAAAGCCUGACGGAGCAACGCCGCGUGAGUGAUGAAGGUCUUCGGAUCGUAAAACUCUGUUAUUAGGGAAGAACAUAUGUGUAAGUAACUGUGCACAUCUUGACGGUACCUAAUCAGAAAGCCACGGCAACUACGUG